GCAGAGUCGGCUGCGUCAGCAGGCAAUGGCCUUGGAGCACCGGCCUGAGCUACCCAGGGAGACGGUGGAUCUCCAGGAAACCGCGAGUGCCUAGGAGCCCCUCCCCACCUUUUCCGGGGAAGCCCUGGUCGGAGCGAGCCGAAGAGGAAAUAAGCUUCAGAGGGUUUGAGUGACAGAUGGUGCAAAACCCAGGGCAGCUGAAGGGUGCCCCAGACUCAAGGGUCCCAUCCAGAAGCCUCCAGGGUGACCAAGGAGCAAACUGGCUGAAGGAGGGUCCCCAGCACCCCCCAGGGAGGAAGCCUCAGAUGGUUUGGUGUCUGCUGACAUGGAAGCCCUUGAGAAGAUGGUGCCCUAGUGGCCGGCUAGGCAGAUGGGCAGCUCAGGCCCGGAAGGAGGCCUUUACCACGCGGCCCUUCAGUGGCUGUGGUGGCCGGAAGUUGUUCACCAUGUGGAUCCUCUCAUCGUCCUCCGAGAUGAGAAAAGCAAAGCUCAAGAGAGGAUGAGUGAUGGGCUCGAAGAUGCACAGUGAGUGACUGAACAAAGAUGAAAACCCAGGGCUGCUGGGUCCCUCGUUCAAUAUUGUCCAAAAUCACUGGAAAGGGAGGAAGCGGAUUUUAAAUUUGACUCUCAUUUGUGUGUGUAUGCAAGUCCUCUCUAAAAGGACUUAGGAGAAGCUAGGGAGAGUGUUUACCUACAGGGAGGAGACUGGACACCGGAAGGUUGUGGAAGGUUGUGGAAGGGUGUGGUAUGGCGUGGGAAGGACACUCUUUACUGGUACUCCUUUGUAUCUCUUGAAUGAAUUAAGGCAUGUAUUACCUCUUUAACAACCAAAUAAAAGUUGAUCCAGUUCUUUCCUUCCUGCA